GUUCGAUCGUGGCUCAGAUUGAACGCUGGCGGAUGCCCUUUUGUAUGCGACAGUCAGACAGCGGCACGGACUUCGGUCUGGUGGCGAGUGGCGAACAGGUGAGUAAUGUAUCCGGAACGUGCCUAAUGUGGCGGGGACGUUAAAGCGUAGCUAAUACCGCAUACGCCGUCAAAGGAAAGCAGGGGACCUUCCGGGCCUCGCAUAUUAGAGCGGCCGAUAUCGGAUUAGCUAGUUGGUGGGGUAACGGCUCACCAAGGCGACGAUCCGUAGCUGGGUUUGAAGGACGACCAGCCACACUGGGACUGAGACACGACCCAGACUCCUACAGGGAGGCAGCAGUGGGAAUUUUGGACAAUGAAGCCUGAUCCAGCCAUCCCGCGUGUGCGAUGAAGGCCUUCGGGUUGUAAAGCACUUUUGGCAGGAAAGAAACGGCACGGGAUAAUACCCGAUGCAACUGACAGUACCUGCAGAAUAGCUUUUUCAGCCAUAACUACGUGCCAGCAGCAGCCGCGGUAAUACGUAGGGUGCAAGCCGGGAUAAUCGGAAUUACUGGGCGUAAAGCGUGCGCAGGCGGUUCAGAAGAAAGAUGUAAAAAUCAGAGCUUAACGCUUUGGAACUGCAUUUUUAACUACCGAGCUAGAAGAGUGUGUCAGAGGGAGGUGGAAUUCCUGAUAAUAGCAGUGAAAUGCGUAGAUAUGCGGAACACCGAUGGCGAAACUGACCUCCUGGGAUAACACUGACGCUCAUGCGAAAAGCGUGGGGGCAAACGGGAUUAGAUACCCUGGUAGUCCGCCUAGGGCGGAUGUCAACUAGCUGUUGGGGCCUUCGGGGCCUUGUUGGCCCUGUGCUGGCAUCAAGUUGACAUUGGGGAAAUACAGUCGCAAGAUUAAAACUCAAAGGAAUUGACGGGGACCGCACAAGCGGUGGAUAGUGUGGAUUAAUUCGAUGCAACGCGGCAACACCUACCCUUGACAUGUCUGGAAUCCCGAAAGGGUCCAGGAGUGCUCGCAAGAGAACCGGAACACAGGUGCUGUGGCUAUCGUCAGCUCGUGUCGUGAGAUGUUGGGUUAAGUCCGCAACGAGCGCAACCCUUGUCGAUGGUGCUACGAAAGGGCACUCUAAUGAGACUGCCGGUGACAAACCGGAGGAAGGUGAAACAGGCGAUCUAAGUCCUCAUGGCCCUUAUGGGUAGGGCUUCACACGUCAUACAAUGGUCGGGACAGAGGGUCGCCAACCCGCGAGAGGCCAAUCCCAGAAACCCGAUCGUAGUCCGGAUCGCAGUCUGCAACUCGACUGCGUGAAGUCGGAAUCGCUAGUAAUCGCGGAUCAGCAUGUCGCGGUGAAUACGUUCCCGGGUCUUGUACACACCGCCCGUCACACCAUGGAAGUGGGUUUUAUAGAAGUAGUUAGCCUAACCGUAAGGAGGGCGAUUACCACGGUAGGAUUCAUGACUGGGGUGAAGUCGUAACAAAGGUAA
rnacentral:rRNA from 1 species